AGAAUCAACGCUGGCGGCGUGCCUAACACAUGCAAGUCGCACGAGAAAGGGGAGCAAUCCCUGAGUAAAGUGGCGCACGGGUGAGUAACACGUGAAUAAUCUACCUUCGAGUGGGAAUAACUGAGAGAAAUCUUAGCUAAUACGCAUAAUACCUACGGAUCAAAGCAGUAAUGCGCUUGAAGAGGAGUUCGCGGCAGAUUAGUUAGUGGCGGGUAAUGGCCCACCAAGACGAUGAUCUGUA
rnacentral:rRNA from 1 species